UACGUAGGGUGCGAGCGUUGUCCGGAAUUACUGGGCGUAAAGAGCUUGUAGGUGGUUUGUCGCGUUGUUCGUGAAAUCUCACGGCUUAACUGUGAGCGUGCGGGCGAUACGGGCAGACUAGAGUACUGCAGGGGAGACUGGAAUUCCUGGUGUAGCGGUGGAAUGCGCAGAUAUCAGGAGGAACACCGGUGGCGAAGGCGGGUCUCUGGGCAGUAACUGACGCUGAGAAGCGAAAGCUAGGGGAGCGAACGGG
rnacentral:rRNA from 1 species